rnacentral:rRNA from 1 species
UAAUACGUAGGUGGCAAGCGUUGUCCGGAAUUAUUGGGCGUAAAGCGCGCGCAGGUGGUUCCUUAAGUCUGAUGUGAAAGCCCACGGCUCAACCGUGGAGGGUCAUUGGAAACUGGGGAACUUGAGUGCAGAAGAGGAAAGUGGAAUUCCAAGUGUAGCGGUGAAAUGCGUAGAGAUUUGGAGGAACACCAGUGGCGAAGGCGACUUUCUGGUCUGUAACUGACACUGAGGCGCGAAAGCGUGGGGAGCAAACAGGAUUAGAUACCCUGGUAGUCCACGCCGUAAACGAUGAGUGCUAAGUGUUAGAGGGUUUCCGCCCUUUAGUGCUGCAGCUAACGCAUUAAGCACUCCGCCUGGGGAGUACGGCCGCAAGGCUG